rnacentral:pre_miRNA from 1 species
UUUGUACUCCCUCCAUCCCAAAAUUCUUGUCCUAAAUUUGUCUAAAUACGGAUGUAUCUAGUUACAUUUUAGUGUUAGAUACAUCCGUAUCUAAACAAAUGUAAGACAAGAAUUUUGGGAUGGAGGGAAUACUAC